rnacentral:rRNA from 1 species
CCUACGGGAGGCAGCAGUGGGGAAUAUUGGACAAUGGGCGAAAGCCUGAUCCAGCAAUGCCGCGUGAGUGAUGAAGGCCUUAGGGUUGUAAAGCUCUUUUACCAGGGAUGAUAAUGACAGUACCUGGAGAAUAAGCUCCGGCUAACUCCGUGCCAGCAGCCGCGGUAAUACGGAGGGAGCUAGCGUUGUUCGGAAUUACUGGGCGUAAAGCGUACGUAGGCGGUUAUUCAAGUCAGAGGUGAAAGCCUGGAGCUCAACUCCAGAACUGCCUUUGAAACUAGAUAGCUAGAAUCUUGGAGAGGUGAGUGGAAUUCCGAGUGUAGAGGUGAAAUUCGUAGAUAUUCGGAAGAACACCAGUGGCGAAGGCGACUCACUGGACAAGUAUUGACGCUGAGGUACGAAAGCGUGGGGAGCAAACAGGAUUAGAUACCCUGGUAGUCCACGCCGUAAACGAUGAUAACUAGCUGUUCGGGCUCUACGAGCUUGAGUGGCGCAGCUAACGCAUUAAGUUAUCCGCCUGGGGAGUACGGUCGCAAGNUUAAAACUCAAAAGAGUAGUAGGACCGUGAGAAGUGCGACGACGACACCGAGGAGGUAG